rnacentral:misc_RNA from 1 species
GAUGAAGAACGCAGUGAAAUGCGAUAAGUAAUGUGAAUUGCAGAAUUCAGUGAAUCAUCGAAUCUUUGAACGCACAUUGCGCCCCUUGGUAUUCCGGGGGGCAUGCCUGUUCGAGCGUCAUUAUAACCCCUCAAGCUCAGCUUGGUGUUGGGGCCUGCCGACUGGCAGCCCUUAAAAUCAGUGGCGGCGCCAUCUGGCUCUAAGCGUAGUAAUUCUUCUCGCUCUGGAGGUCCGGUCGUGUGCUUGCCAGCAACCCCCAAUUUUUUUCAGGUUGACCUCGGAUCAGGUAGGGAUACCCGCUGAACUUAAGCAUAUCAAUAAGCGGAGGA